CUUGGUGACUAUCAACCAUCAACCUUUUGUAUCCCAUAGUGCAGUGCAUUUGAAGAGACUGUCCUACUGAAGAGAACCACUGGAGGCUUAGCAAUCCCAAGGCAUUUGGAGCCACAGCCAAGAGUUAAGCAAUUGAUGGCAGAUGUUUUCCCCUGGAAAAUCCAAAUGGACCUGUAAUAUCACAAGCCUUUCCACAGGUUUUGGGGCAUCUCUCUUGUCACUCAAACCUUCAACUUCA
rnacentral:lncRNA from 1 species